CCGAGUUAUACAACUCAUCAACCCUGUGAACAUACCUAAAACGUUGCUUCGGCGGGAACAGACGGCCCCGUAGCACGGGCCGCCCCCGCCAGAGGACCCCCUAACUCUGUUUCUAUUAUGUUUCUUCUGAGUAAAACAAGCAAAUAAAUUA
rnacentral:misc_RNA from 1 species